UUUUCUUUAAAAAAUUAAACAAUGAAGCAUUGACAUGCACAAAAAGGAUGUUAUCUGAUAUAUAAUUUGACAUUAAUAAAUAUAAAUGUAUAUAUAUGGAUGUGGAUAUGAGAUGAGGAUGAGCCGGCGCAGUGAGAGGAUCGACCCACUCGCACCUGUUGACCGGAUUCCGGAUUUUCCAGGUUAAAAUGUAAAAUGGCGACAAACCGGAAAUGAAACAGGUGGACGUUCUCAACCCUGACGGUUUACUCCGGUGAUUUGUUUUUGUGUGAAGAAAGUGGAGUUUGUUUUCUUUUUCCUGCCGGAUAAACCCGCAAACAGAGGCAGUAAGUCAGCGCUGUGAGCUCUGCUCCUCUUCAGUGGGGCUGUUUUAUAAACUCUGCUUGGACGGGAAUGAGAAACUCCGCAUAAACAAGCGGAGCGACUUUCUUCACCACACGGUAACUUCACUUUAAAUAUGAUCUCUGAGCUGAACACGGUGUCGGGACACGAACACCACAAGACUGAAGUGUGUCAUGCAAAGUGUUCAGACUUCAGGUUUUGUAUAUAAGGAAGUCCCGUGCUUACAUUUGAACCCUUACAGUGGUGUGUGUGUGUGUGUGUGUGUGUGUGUGACAGUGUUGUCUCUCUGUGUGUGUGACAGUGUUGUCUCUGUGUGUGUGUGUGUGUGACAGUGUUGUCUCUCUCUGUGUGUGUGUGUGUGUGUGUGUGUGUGUGUGUGUGUGACAGUGUUGUCUCUUGUUGUCUCUGUGUGUGUGUGUGUGACAGUGGUGUGUGUGUGUGACAGUGUUGUCUCUGUGUGUGUGACAGUGUUGUGUCUCUCUCUCUCUGUGUGUGUGUGUGUGUGUGUGUGUGUGUGACAGUGUUGUCUCUCUCUGUGUGUGUGUGUGUGUGUGUGUGUGUGUGACAGUGUUUGUUUGUUGUCUCUGUGUGUGUGUGUGUGACAGUGUUGUCUGUGUCUGUGUGUGUGUGUGUGUGACAGUGUUUGUUGUCUCUGUGUGUGUGUGUGUGACAGUGUUGUCUCUGUGUGUGUGUGACAGUGUUGUGUGUGUGUGUGUGUGUGAGACAGUGUUGUCUGUGUGUGUGACAGUGUUGUCUGUGUGUGUGACAGUGGUGUGUGUGUGUGUGUGUCUCUGUGUGUGUGACAGUGGUGUCUGUGUGUGUGUGUCUGUGUGUGUGUGACAGUGGUGUCUCUGUGUGUGUGUGUGUCUGUGUGUGUGUGACAGUGUUGUUUCUGUGUGUGUGACAGUGUUGUCUCUGUGUGUGUGUGUGUGACAUUGUUGUCUCUGUGUGUGUGUGUGUGUGUGACAGUGUUGUCUCUGUGUGUGUGUGUGUGUGACAGUGUUGUCUCUGUGUGUGUGACAGUGUUGUCUCUGUGUGUGUGUGACAGUGUUGUCUCUGUGUGUGUGACAGUGUUGUCUGUGUCUGUGUGUGUGUGUGUGACAGUGUUGUCUGUGUGUGUGUGUGUGUGUGACAGUGUUGUCUCUGUGUGUGUGUGUGUGUGUGACAGUGUUGUCUCUGUGUGUGUGUGUGUGUGUGUGUGUGACAGUGGUGUCUGUGUGUGUGUGUGUCUGUGUGUGUGUGACAGUGUUGUCUCUGUGUGUGUGACAGUGUUGUCUCUGUGUGUGUGUGUGUGUGAGACAGUGUUGUCUCUGUGUGUGUGUGUGUGUGUGACAGUGUUGUCUCUGUGUGUGUGUGUGUGACAGUGUUGUCUCUGUGUGUGUGUGUGUGACAGUGUUGUCUGUGUCUGUGUGUGUGUGUGUGUGACAGUGUUGUCUCUGUGUGUGUGUGUGUGUGUGACAGUGGUGUGUGUGUGUGUGUGUGUGUGUGUGACAGUGUUGUCUGUGUGUGUGUGUGUGACAGUGUUGUCUGUGUGUGUGUGUGACAGUGGUGCCUGUGUGUGUGUGACAGUGUUGUCUCUCUGUGUGUGUGUGACAGUGUUGUCUCUGUGUGUGUGUGUGUGUGUGUGACAGUGUUGUCUCUGUGUGUGUGUGUGUGUGUGUGACAGUGUUGUCUCUGUGUGUGUGACAGUGUUGUCUCUGUGUGUGUGACAGUGUUGUCUCUGUGUGUGUGUGUGUGUGUGUGUGUGUGUGUGUGUGUGUGUGUGUGACAGUGGUGCCUGUGUGUGUGUGACAGUGGUGCCUGUGUGUGUGUGACAGUGUUGUCUCUGUGUGUGUGUGUGACAGUGUUGUCUCUGUGUGUGUGUGUGUGUGUGUGUGUGUGACAGUGGUGCCUGUGUGUGUGUGACAGUGUUGUCUGUGUGUGUGUGUGUGUGACAGUGUUGUCUCUGUGUGUGUGACAGUGUUGUCUCUGUGUGUGUGUGUGUGUGUGUGUGACAGUGUUGUCUCUGUGUGUGUGACAGUGUUGUCUCUGUGUGUGUGACAGUGGUGUCUGUGUGUGUGUGUGUGUGUGACUGGUGCCUCUGUGUGUGUGUGACAGUGGUGCCUGUGUGUGUGUGUGUGUGUGACAGUGUUGUCUCUGUGGGUGACAGUGUUGUCUCUGUGUGUGACAGUGUUGUCUCUGUGGGUGACAGUGUUGUCUCUGUGUGAGACAGUGUUGUCUGCGCGCGCGUGUGUGACAGUGUUGUCUCUGUGUGUGUGUGAGACAGUGUUGAAUCAGGACUGCAGUGUUCAGGCUUAUUCUUACAGGCUUGAAUUAAUUAACCGUAUUCAUUUAACCCAUACGGUAUAGAAGUAACGCUUAUGUAACUGCUGUGUAGUUAACCUGUACAAUGUUGAUUCAUGUAUGUGUGUG
ensembl:lncRNA